CGGUAACAUUUCUAGCUUGCUAGAAGAUGACGAGUGGCGGACGGGUGAGUAAUACUUAGGAAUAUGCCUUUGUGUGGGGGAUAACCAUUGGAAACGAUGGCUAAUACCGCAUAACGUCUUCGGACCAAAGGGGGCUUCGGCUCCCGCGCAAAGAGUAGCCUAAGCGAGAUUAGCUUGUUGGUGAGGUAAAGGCUCACCAAGGCGACGAUCUCUAGCUGUUCUGAGAGGAAGAUCAGCCACACUGGAACUGAGACACGGUCCAGACUCCUACGGGAGGCAGCAGUGGGGAAUAUUGCACAAUGGGGGAAACCCUGAUGCAGCCAUGCCGCGUGUGUGAAGAAGGCCUUCGGGUUGUAAAGCACUUUCAGUUGUGAGGAAAGGUUGAUGGUUAAUACCCAUCAGCUGUGACGUUAGCAACAGAAGAAGGACCGGCUAACUCCGUGCCAGCAGCCGCGGUAAUACGGAGGGUCCGAGCGUUAAUCGGAAUUACUGGGCGUAAAGCGCACGCAGGCGGUUUGUUAAGCUAGAUGUGAAAGCCCCGGGCUCAACCUGGGAAUAGCAUUUAGAACUGGCAGACUAGAGUCUUGGAGAGGGGAGUGGAAUUUCUGGUG
rnacentral:rRNA from 1 species